GCAGAGCAUCCUACGGGAGGCAGCAGUGGGGAAUAUUGCACAAUGGGCGCAAGCCUGAUGCAGCCAUGCCGCGUGUAUGAAGAAGGCCUUCGGGUUGUAAAGUACUUUCAGCAGUGAGGAAGGUGGGUAUGUUAAUAGCAUACUCAUUUGACGUUAGCUGCAGAAGAAGCACCGGCUAACUCCGUGCCAGCAGCCGCGGUAAUACGGAGGGUGCGAGCGUUAAUCGGAAUUACUGGGCGUAAAGCGCAUGCAGGUGGUUUGUUAAGUCAGAUGUGAAAGCCCGGGGCUCAACCUCGGAAUUGCAUUUGAAACUGGCAAACUAGAGUACUGUAGAGGGGGUAGAAUUUCAGGUGUAGCGGUGAAAUGCGUAGAGAUCUGAAGGAAUACCGGUGGCGAAGGCGGCCCCCUGGACAGAUACUGACACUCAGAUGCGAAAGCGUGGGGAGCAAACAGGAUUAGAUCCCCUGGUAG
rnacentral:rRNA from 1 species